rnacentral:tRNA from 1 species
GAGUAUGAUUGGAUAAGCAAGAACUGCUAAUUACUUGCUUCUACGGUUCGAUUCCAUAGCAAACUCG